rnacentral:tRNA from 1 species
GCGUGCGUAGUUCAACUGGAUAGAAUAUCAGAUUUCGGCUCUGAGGGUUGAGGGUUCGAAUCCUUCCGCGCGCACAA